UACAAACUUGGCAACCGGUACAAAUUUGGCGUGACAGCGGCAUGGAAAUCUACACUUCAGGAAAUGCAGAGGACUACUGUGUGGUGUGCUCCUUUGCUGAAAAAAUGCAGAUGAGAGCAUGUUUGAAAUGGUGCAGUGUUAAUUGUGCAGUCGAUGGGCACAUUUUGAGUGCCCAAUAUGGCCAUGACAAUAGCGCUGUAUAUGUCUGCAUGAAAUGCCUCAAAAUAAAAUUAUGAUUUCAGAACUUUGGUUGUUUUUAUUAUUGGAUCUUUUGAAUAAUUAUUAUUUAUGCAUAUAAACAUACAGAAUCCCAUUCAGAAAUAUAGACAAGUUU